rnacentral:rRNA from 1 species
CCCGCACAAGCGGUGGAGCACGUGGUUUAAUUCGAUGCAAACCGAAGAACCUUACCUGGGUUUGACAUGUACGUGGUACGGAUAUGAAAGUUGAAGGACUCCGCUUUCGGGUGGAGAGCGUACACAGGUGCUGCAUGGCUGUCGUCAGCUUGUGUCGUGAGAUGUUGGGUUAAGUCCCGCAACGAGCGCAACCCCUGCAUUCAGUUGCCAUCGGGUGAAGCCGGGCACUCUGGAAGGACUGCCAUCGACAAGAUGGAGGAAGGUGGGGACGACGUCAAGUCAUCAUGGCCCUUAUGUCCAGGGCGACACACGUGCUACAAUGGCCGGCACAACGGGAAGCGAGUUCGCGAGGACGAGCGGAUCCCUUAAAGCCGGUCGCAGUUCGGAUUGAAGUCUGCAACUCGACUUCAUGAAGCUGGAAUCGCUAGUAAUCGCAGAUCAGCCAAGCUGCGGUGAAUACGUUCCCGGGCCUU